rnacentral:lncRNA from 1 species
CAAGGUUUUAAAUAGCGGUCGCGGUCACGGUCGCGUCAAGAAUUUCGCGAUUUCGGCUGUUACGGCUGUUGCGUUGUGAAAUACGGUCGUCGCGGUGUGAAUAAAUCACAAUAUCGCACAAAUCUUAUUAAAAUUAUUUGUACUAUGAUAUUUGUAUAACAACUUAAAUAUGAGAUAAAUGUAAAGUUUUGAACUUAGAAAGAGUUAAAAAGAUAUAACACUUUAUAAUUUAUGUUCAUAUUUGUAUUAAAAAUGUGAUUUUUAUGCAUUUCUAUUGGAAAAAAUAGAAAUCUCUAUCUAUUAGCAUUUUGUCGCGGCCGUAUUGCGUNN